rnacentral:tRNA from 1 species
UGGCUCAGUUGGUAUUGCAUGGUGUUUGCAACGCCAGGGUUGUGGGUUCGAUUCCCAC